AUGUACAUUCCUACAACAUAGCAUUAAUGCACCAGAUCCCAUUAGAACUCCGUAGUUAAGCAUGCUUGGGCUAUAUUAGUACUAGGAUGGGUGACCACCCAAGAAAUCCUAGUGUUUUACAUG
rfam:Picea glauca, whole genome shotgun sequence.